UCAGAGGCUGCGAGUGUCGCUGCUGAAGGCUGUGGUGGACCCGGCCGGGUCGCGGAUUCUGAGCUACAUCUCGGGUUUGGGGUUAGGGUUAGUGGAAAGGCCACGAGGAGCCGCGGGGGCUCAGGAGCCGGUGGUGGGCGUCUGAGGAGAAGUCGCCCCAUGAGGAAGCUCUUCAGCUUCGGGAGACGCCCGGGCCGGGCGGUCCUGGGCUCCAUCGACCACGAGUACCCGGGUCCCGCGUACCACACCAGGGACGCGGAACUGCGGAAGAUCCACAGGGCGGCCCUCAAGGGCGACGCCGCGGAGGUGGAGCGCCGCCUGGCGCGCAGGUGCCGGGACGUGGAUGCCCAGGACAGGACUGUUCUACAUUUGGCCUGUGCCCACGGCCGUGUGCAAGUGGUCACUCUCUUGCUGAGCAGAAAAUGUCAGAUCGACAUCUGUGACAGACUAAACAGGACGCCUUUAAUGAAGGCUGUAUAUUGCCAGGAAGAGACGUGUUCCAUUAUUCUGCUGGAACAUGGCACCAGUCCAAACAUUAAGGACGUCUACAGCAACACUGCUCUUCAUGAUGGUAAACAUUGAGGAUGUCUACGGCAACACUGCUCUUCAUGAUGCUGUCUAUGAUAAGGGGACUUCACUGGCAGGAAGCCUGCUUUCCCACCAUGCAAAUACUGAAGCACUAAACAAGGAGGGAAAUACACCACUUUUGCUUGCUGUAAUUUGUAAGAGACAGUAAAUGGUGGCAUUUUUAGUGAAGAACCAGCAUUCAACAACAAAUUUUGGAACCUAAAAAUAAGUACUUUAAAAUCAUCUUCAAAAUGACAAUUAAGCCUACCAUUGACUGGAAGCCUUGCUGAUAACACAAGCAGUCCAUGAACGCAUAUUUGAAGCAGCAGCCAUGAAGAACGAAAGUUUUAGAAAAGGAGGAGCAAUUUCAAAAUAAACAACAGCUAUGAAGCCUGCAAAUUUGUAAAAAGGAGAAGAAGGUGCAAAAGAACACGACUUAAAAGUGGCUUCAGAGGAAAAGCAAGAAACGCUUGAAAGAAGUGAAAAUAAACAGCCAGAGAUUUUCAAAGUUAUAGAAAAAAGAAGGAUGUGAUAUAUACAAAUUGCAUAUUGAAGGGAGAUAUUGCCACACUCAAACAGGAAUAAUACACAAUAAAAAAUGACAGUGUCAAAAAGGAAAAGGAAUAUAUUCAGGAAAUUAAGAGUAUUAGAGAAAUAAAUGCUAACUUUGAAAAAAGUGCAAGACUCAAUGAGGAAAUGACAACAAAAACGAUGUCCCAGUAUUGUCAACAGCUUAAUGGCCUCAAAGCUGAGAAUACAAGGCUGAAUUCAAAAUUGGAGAAGGAAGAACACCACACAGAUGGACUGGAAGCUGAAGUUGAAUUCUUCCAUUCUAGGCUGGCUGCUGCUAUAAAUGAGCACAAUGAAAGUUUAGAAACGAAAGACCUAGAACUUGUUUUACAGAGAGCACAUAAUUUUUCCGUACAUAAAAAAAUAAGUUCUACUGUUUCUCAACUAAAAGAUAAAAAUGAGUUGCUUACUGAACAAUUUUCUAAAGCUCAGAUGAAGUUCAAUACCUUAAAAGGUAAGCUCCAUGAGAUAAGAGAUGCUCUCAGGGAAAAGACAUUGGCUUUAGAAAGUGUACAGAUGGACCAAAGGCAAGCACAGCAUCGAAUAAAGGAAAUGGAGCAGAUUCAUCCAAAUGAGGAAACUAAAGGAGUCGAUCCACCGGAAAGCACAACUGUGUAGAGGAGAGACUAUGUCAACUAGAAUGUGACAGUCUCUUGCUUCAACGACAACUAGAGGGUGCUCAUAAGGAAGGCAAUGAUAAAGAGAUAGUAAUUAAUAUCCAAGGAGGCUGUCUUGAGAGUGGAAAGAUCUUCUAGAAGAGAAAAAUAAGAAACUAAUGAAUGAAUAUAAUUCUAUAAAAGAAAAACUGUUUCAGUAUGUAAAAGAAGAAGGAGAAGUAAGUAUGAAGAAAGAUAAAUAUAUUUAACCUUCCAGAAAGAAAAUUUAAACAUUUCAUUGUGGCUAUAUGUUGAAUCUAGUUCAAUAUAAUAAUAAAUAGAUGAAAAUGUAUUUACCAUACUGUAUAAUUCCAUUAACAUGAAACAUCCAGAAAAGACAUGUAUAGGGACAGAAAGAAGAUGAAUGUUUCUGUAGGGCUGGGGCUGGAAAUGGGUCGUGACUGCUGAUGGGCAUGAGGGAUCAUCCUGGAGUGAUGAAAAUGUUCUAAAGCUGGAUUGUAAAGAUGACUGCACGACUGGUAAAUUUACUAAAAAUCUUUGAACUGUAUGUUAAAACAGAUAAAUUCUGUAGUAUGUAAAUCAUAUUUUAGCAAAGCUGUUUUAAUAAAAAAACAAAAAAAAUAUGUUUACUGUAUCAGCUUGGAAACAUACCUUGUUUCCAGGAAAUAAAAGGUAGAGCUGACAGAUGCUUUCCUUUGAGUAAACACAUUAUGUCACCUAUGAAAUUUUAGUAGCUACAGAGUAAUGUUCAUACAGUAUGUAGUCUUAUACUGCUGAAAUAAUAAAUUUAAUGUCUUUAUGUUGUCACAUUUUAAGACCAUAAUGAAGCAGAUAAAUUGAUAUCUUGUACCUGAAAUAAGUAUUUUGAAAUUAAGAUUCAAUUAAGUGAGCCACUUUGACACUUAAUUCUAGAUUUCCCAGAUGAACUGAAGUGUGUUGCUCUGUCUUGUGGUGCUUUUCCUUCAGUGGCUCUUUUAUGUAUUUUAGUUGGCAUAACUUUAUUUUGAUUCAUAUCAAUGUGACUUAAGUCUGAAAAUAUGUCAGUCUCACAUUAUGUAUUUUUCUGACCACUUAAUAUUUUAAAGACAUCUACUUGUUAUAAAAUCACAAUUUGGAAUAAAUGUGGUAAAUUUUAGCAAAAAA
ensembl:lncRNA ANKRD18DP ankyrin repeat domain 18D, pseudogene